UACGUAGGUGGCAAGCGUUGUCCGGAAUUAUUGGGCGUAAAGCGCGCGCAGGCGGUCCCUUAAGUCUGAUGUGAAAGCCCACGGCUCAACCGUGGAGGGUCAUUGGAAACUGGGGGGACUUGAGUACAGAAGAGGAAAGCGGAAUUCCACGUGUAGCGGUGAAAUGCGUAGAGAUGUGGAGGAACACCAGUGGCGAAGGCGGCUUCUGGUCUGUAACUGACGCUGAGGCGCGAAAGCGUGGGGAGCAAACAGG
rnacentral:rRNA from 1 species